GAUGAACGCUAGCGGCAGGCUUAAUACAUGCAAGUCGAGGGGCAGCAGGACUGUAGCAAUACAGUUGCUGGCGACCGGCAAACGUGUGCGGAACACGUACGCAACCUAUCCAAAACUGGGGGAUAGCCCGGGGAAACCCGGAUUAAUACCUCGUAACCUUUUUAAGUGGCAUCACUUGAUAAGUAUAGCUCCGGCGGUCUUGGAUGGGCGUGCGCCUGAUUAGGUAGUUGGUGCGGGUAACGGCCCACCAAGCCUGCGACCAGUAACUGGUGUGAGAGCACGACCAGUCAGACGGGCACUGAGACACAGACCCGACUCCUACGCGAGGCAGCAGUAAGGAAUAUUGGGCAAUGGACGCAAGUCUGAACCAGCCAUGCCGCGUGAAGGAUGAAGGUCCUCUGGAUUGUAAACUUCUUUUAUGGGGGACGAAACCCGGAUAUUCUUAUCCGAUUGACGGUACCUCAGGAAUAAGCACCGGCUAACUCCGUG
rnacentral:rRNA from 1 species